CACACAUUUUAAUUUUUGGAAUAACAAGAAAAAAGGGAGCUGUUACAAUUCUGAGCAUACCAUCACAAACCUAAUUACAUACAUGAAGACAGCUCAUCACAAGCUUUGUUCUAUCCAUAAAAUAUAGCUCAUCACAAGCUAGUUUCAGCAACAAGGUUGAAAACUUUCUGAGCUAAUGGAAAAAAAUAAUAAUGUUGAAAGAGCCAGUGAAAUUUUCAAAGCACAGGCUCAUAUUUACAAACAUGCAUUUGCUUAUGCAAAUUCCAUGUCCCUGAAUUGUACCAUUCAGUUAGGCAUACCAGAUAUUAUUCAUAACAACAAAAAACCAAUCACUCUUCCUGAUCUACUUUCAGCACUAAAACUUCCCUCAUCAAAAUCAAAUGGCAUUCAUUGACUAAUGCGUCUGUUGGUGCACUCUCAAUUCUUUGAUAUAACAAAGCUUGAAGAAAACUCAGAAACAGAAGGAUAUGUUUUGACAACUUCUUCAAGGCUGCUUCUUAAGAGUGAAAUCCCAAAUUUGUCACCUUGUGUUCGAGUAAUGGUUGAUCCUGUCCUUGUCACUCCUUGGCAAUUAUUGGGAGAAUGGUUUCACAAGAAUGAAGAAGCGACGCCAUUUGAGACAGCACAUGGGGUGCCUAUGUGGGACUUUUGUGCACAAAAUCCAAUAUUUGACAGAGUUUUUAAUGAAGGAAUGGCUAGUGAUUCCCAAAUGAUGAGAUUAGUUGUUAACGACUGCAGGGAAGGUUUUGAGGGACUGAAUUCAUUGGUUGAUGUUGGCAGUGGUACUGGCAUUGUAGCUAAGACCAUCUUGGAGGCAGGGGUGGCUCUAUGCUUUAUAAGAUAAGGCUUACGCCUUAGGCCUCCAAAUUUUGGGGCCCCAAAUUUUUAUCAAGAACAAAUUACCUGUUAAAAAAUUUAUAGAAAAAAAUAAUUAUUUAUGAUUAAAAGUAUAAUAUUUUAAAAAUAUAUUAUUUUACCCACUUGAACAUCUUUUGUACUUUGUUAAAAAUAAAAAUUAAUAGUGAAAAGUGUUGAACAAAGUGCACUACAAAUUCUUUUUUAUUUGUUUUUAAAUUUUAGUUUCAAGCAUUACCUCAAGCAUAUUAAAAUGGGGUAUAGCAAGUCAUCAAUUUCUUGAGAUUCUAUGGUUCUAACUCUUAUCUUUAUUCAAUAUUUGUCAACUUAUUACUUAUAGAAAUAAAAUUUGAAUAAAUAUGUAUACGAAGUUUGUUUAUAUUUGAGGCCUCGAAUCGAAAUUUUCGCUUUAGGCCCCGAAUUACAUUGAGCCGCCCCUGCUUGGAGGCAGUACCUCACUUGAAAUGCACUGUCCUUGAUCUUCCACAUGUUGUUGCCAAUAUGCCACAGAGUGAGAAUUUAAUUUAUGUAGGAGGGAAUAUGUUUCAGUCUAUUCCCCAUGCUGAUGCAAUUUUACUUAAGGUAUGCACAAAAGUUUCAUCCUUAACAUGUUCUAGUUUUAUUUUGCUUGAUAUUGGAGGGGGGGUGGAAUUACAGAAAAGAAAUUUGGCUGCAUUUCCUCACCUAAAAUGCACCAUGUUAGACCUUCUUCAUGUUAUUGCUAAAAUGCCACAGACAGAAAAUUUGAAAUAUGUGGGAGGUGUCAUCUUUCAGUUACUAUACGGUUUCUGUAUUAAAGGCUAUAGGCCAUCGGUAUCAUGAGCUUGCUAUUGGGGUUGAGUUAGGCUCAAGUAUCAUAUCUUUACUUUUUUUCUUGCUAGAAGAGAGAAAUAGGCAAUUUAAAUCCCUAUUCUUUAGAAUUCCUCUUGUCUGCUUUUUUGCUCAUGGCAAUGUCUAACAAAACAGUUAAGACUGUCCUAUGCUUGAGAAAAUAUGACAUUUUGCAGACUGUUAUGCAUAAUUGGAGUGAUGAAGAUUGUCACGAGUUUGUGAUAUUUACAGUGUCUGUUAUCCUGUCCAUGUCAAUGUCCAACAAAACAGUUAAGAAACUGAGAAAACAUGACAUAAUUUUUGCAGCAUGCUAUGCAUAAUUGGAGUGAUGAGGAUUGUGUGAAGAUACUAAAGAAAUGCAGAGAAGCUAUCAAGGAUAAAUAUGGAGGAAGAAAAGGGAAGGUCCUAAUCAUUGACAUGGUAUUGGAUAGAGAUGAAGAAGAAGCAGACAUGACUGAAGUGAAGCUCAUAUUUGAUGUACUAGUGAUGGUUGUAGCUACUGGAAGGCAGAGAACUGAGAAAGAAUUGGAAAAGCUAUUCCUUGAGGGUGGUUUCAUGAGCUACAAGAUUACACCUGUCCUUGGCCUAAGGUCCCUCAUUCAAGCUUUCCCUUAAAAUUAUCUGCUCUAUGUCUCUUAAGCUUCAUUUGUUUUCAUUAAGAUUAAGACGUUUGAAUCUUAAUGCACUUCUGAACGAUUACAAUACUGUCUCUAGAUCUAAGCACAUAAUGAUAAUGAUUGUUUGUUUUUCAACAUCCAAAUGUGCAUAAUCUAAAUAAAUAUACAAUUCAAAUAAAAAAUUAAUUAAAUAUUAAAAAAAUAUUAAUUGAAUAAAAUAAAAUCAUUAUUUGAUAAAAGAAUGUAAUAAUUACGUUCACUAAUGAUAGUAGAGAUGGUUUUUAGUGAUGGUGAUGGUGGUACUGAUUGAUGUUAAGUGGAUAGUAAUGAUGGUGUUGAUAGUUGUGAUGGUGGAGGUGGUUGGUGUUGUAAUGGUUGUCAAUUACCAAGUCAUGAGCCUCUAAAGAAAGAUAAAAUCGCUAAGUACAUAGAGCCUUCGGGGCAUAUAUUGGAAUACUGAAACAAUUGAAUAUGACUAAUAAGGAUAAAAUCCCCCACCGAACGAAUAGCAGAAGAAUGUUGAAUAUGGAUGCUGAGUCCAGCUGGUGGUACCAACCUCAAUCUUCAUCCAGAAAGGAAGAGUAGGCUCUCAUUAACUAUCCUAAAUGGUGCUGCAGGACAUAGUGAGGUAAAUAUGAAAUGCAGUAAAACAUAUAUGUAACAUUGGUUAUCAAAAAAAAAAAACAUAUAUGUAACAUUUCACAGUCUGAAACUAUAACUGGUACUUCUAUUGAAAUUUGUAACUGAAACUAAUAACUGGACUGAAACCGAACUGACAGUUAUUCUUGAAACCUUAUUUUAUCAGGAAAUAUUCUAUUAUGAUAAGUUACGAAUAAUGAACUUGCAUGUGUGUGACUGGUGCUACGUAUGGGGAGGGCCAACUUAGCUUACGAGCAAGAAUGGGGUAGCUAACAACUCGCCGCUUUGGCACUCAUGCUCGGGGAAGUGGUAACUUCGCCCAGCUGAAUGUGAUCAGAUUAAUGUACUGAAACUGGAUGCAGGAAUUACACAAAAUGCACAAAUUAAGACAAUCAAGUAAUUUUAUUCACACAGAAGUACUUCAACAUAAUGCAAUUAUUUAUCUGAAAACUGUGCUAGGAUAGAAUACGGAGAGUUAAGCACUCUGCUUGUCCCCUAAGAACUUAACCUCAAAACUUCUUUCAAACACUUGGUAGACAUGCUUUUGUCAAUAAUCCAUUUAGGAAGGUAGCCUUAACGUACCUCAACUUUCGACUGAAACUUGCGUUUUUAACUUCCCAGAUAUCCGUCAAAUGCCGAAAUCUACAACCAUCAGGCCUGAACACAUCAACACAAGAUAGUUCAAUAUUUCUUGAAAAUCUCAAAUUUUCAUGCUAGGGUUGCGUUUUAAUCAAUUUAAGUCUGAAGUUAUCCACUAGAAUUAUUCCAUCAAAUUUUGACUAAUUCCUAAUUUCCUAUUUCCAUUCAUGGCUUCUUUCAGUUCCACAAGUAAACUACUACAAAAAAUAUUGAGCUUUAUGAUUUCAUACUAUCCCAAUAAUACCAAUUUGUCAGUUCAAGAUAGUGGGUUUACUUUUGGAAGCAAUUCCUCAAACCCUACCCUUUAACUUAAAGGGUUCUUGUUGACAUUUCCGGUAAUGUAACUAUUCAUAAGUUAAACUAGUGUUAAUUGACCCAAAUUAACUCAAACUCUGCUGGAAUUAUUACCUUGGAUAAUGUAAGUAAGCAGUUUGUUUUUGCCUUCAAAAGCUCUUUAAAUGCUGAAGAAGUGGGUUUUUUCUCCCUCUAACUGACCGUAUUUAUACUUUCUGAUUGACGGACACGCUGAAAACAAGUCUGAGUUUUCGCCCCCAUGGAGCGCCGGUUCCUGCCGCCUUGGCCAAUCAAACACACUCUCCUAUCCUCUCUCAUUCCCUUGGCUCACCCUUCUCUCUGUGUAUAUGUAUUUUAGA
rnacentral:lncRNA from 1 species